AGCAACCAAUGGCAGCAAGCUUAGCCAAAUGAGUGCUUGUUUAUGAGACCACUCGCUCUUGGGGUGCAGCUGAAAACGGCUCUCCACAAAGGUGUAGGGAGAUAUUUGUAAAGAUCGCAUCAGUCCUCUACUUCAAAACUACACAUUUACUUCUAUAAACUCCUCAAAACCGGCCAGUAAAUCUUUCACACAGAGGGAAUUGUCAUAAAGCAUAUAACUACAUCCUGUUGUCAAUAGAAAACAGAGAAAGAAGAAGCAUAUCUUACAUACUGAGUUGCUUUCACAGGGUCAAACACAUCUGUGGGACAAUUAUAUAAUUUUGCCUCACACUCUCUCAUAUGAAUAGGAGAGCAUCCAUCUCGCUGUUUGAGGUCUCCUGGGAGGCCUAUAGCCCCAUCUGUAUCAGACUUCUAUGAGGCCUUCAGACUGUGGGGUCUUCAGAGGAACAUAAAUGCCAGUGACAGUGUGCAGCAGAUCUCCUAGGAGGCUUUCAGACUGAGGGGUCUUCAGCGGAGCACACAAGCUGGUGAUCUGCCCUGGUGGAAGGUGCAGUCUGAAAGUUAUUGGGUGGUAGAGAAGUUGAGAGCCUUCUGUGGCAAGAAUGAAGACCAGAGUACCAAAGAAGCCCUGUGAACAUAGUGUGAGCAUGGUAGCCAACCUGUAAUUCCAAUAUUCAAGAGGUAGAGACUGGGUACCUGUUACCUUCCCUCUUCACUUCAGU